rnacentral:rRNA from 1 species
UACGAAGGGGGCUAGCGUUGCUCGGAAUCACUGGGCGUAAAGGGUGCGUAGGCGGGUCUUUAAGUCAGGGGUGAAAUCCUGGAGCUCAACUCCAGAACUGCCUUUGAUACUGAAGAUCUUGAGUCCGGGAGAGGUGAGUGGAACUGCGAGUGUAGAGGUGAAAUUCGUAGAUAUUCGCAAGAACACCAGUGGCGAAGGCGGCUCACUGGCCCGGUACUGACGCUGAGGCACGAAAGC